AAUACGGCCACCAAACCACGGAAAUGACUGGUCAUGUCAAAAAAUCACAGCCUUCAUUUCACCGACAGAGAAGAGCAGAAUCCAAACUCGCCAAAAAAAGCAAGCAUUUUGGAUGAAAGCAAUACACUACACAAGCUUGCCCAUCAGCCGCUCAGCUAGGUCAACAAGCAUCCUGAUCUUUCCUGAAGCCAACCGUCAAUUACCACACAGACACAUGGCCUUCUUGCUGUCUUAAAUCAAGCGUCCGACACGCCGCAGAGUGACACAUAUCAAUACCAAUCUGACAGGCCCUGUUGCCACCUCAGCUACAGAAGAGACAAGCUGCACCUGCCUCACCGUGGGACAUGUGUCUGUUCACCACAUCCCCCCGCAGACACACACACACACGUCACUGGUUUCUGUAUUUGCUGAGUGCCCUGUGCUAUUUUCUGAAGCCCAUUAUUAUAUUCAUUUCAGAAUGGCGUCUGAAGCCUGUUGGUCUGGUACCUGGGGCUGCGGAGCCCUGCUGCUGUACAGUGAUUUGUCGUGACAUUCUGACAGCGGCCGGGGAGAGAGGGCAUGAGAGGAAAAGAACAAGGGCUGAACAGAGCCUCAGCUGGCCCGGGCUCUGGGUGGCUGCUGGGUGUUCCUCUCACCCGUGUUAGAGGGGCAGGUGUCACUACGACGGUGACGGGCAUCAGUCAGACUGGAGCUUCAUCUGACUGGAGAGGAUCAAUCUCGUACCUUAAUGCAAGUGGACACGACACAUACAGAUUCCAGAUGCAGGACGGAUGAAGUGGAGAAGAUGAGGGGUGAUUAACAACAUGACGCUGAGAACAUCUCCCCCUUCUCACAAGCAAGCCACCUCCCUCUCUGACAUCCUCGGACCAUCGCCUGCUCGGCGCACAUCCCCUGACAGUUGUACACACCACCGUGUCGGCACGCUUGACUUCCUGCACUGGUCAGAUGGGGGCGCUGCAGUGUCAGGUUUGCGUGACAGCACGCCGAGCUCUCGUUCUCCAGGCCCUGGGCAUAUGCUGCCUGCUCACAUCAUUAUUGUCUUUAUACACUGAGUAAUCACUACACUUUAUGAUAAUGCAGCAGAAAUUUACAAGCUGGGGAAAGUCUCUAAUAAUGGCAUUAACAGAGAAAGCCACAGCAGCUCUCAGCCCGACGGGGGCUCGGCGCUCAAAGGGAGAGCUGCUCGCUCGAAAUGUCACUGUGAAAUAUGACUCGUCUCCUGGAUUAUACAUCAUACUCAUUCUCUCUCCUCUCUUCGCAUGUCCUUUCUUCUCCCCCGCAAAUAAAUGACGAAAAACCCAGCCAUUUGUGAUGAUCAACUCCAAACAAAUCCGUACCCCAGAGAGCAGGAAAAGGUGACUAGCUGGUUAAAUUUUGUUAAGCACGAACCCGGAGAACAUUCGCUGGGCCGAGUGUGUCCAGCGCAUCCUCAAAAUGCCUGAUCAGGCCCGCGAUCUAAUUACCAGCACUGCGAAAGAGAUAUACCGAGAUGGAGUGAGACAGACAGAAGGAGAGAGAGAGGGAGACUGAGUCAAAGAUCAGUGUAAACACCAGUGCUUUUUAUCUUCUUAUAUAUCUGGACAAGAAGACAAAGUGCUAAAACGAAAUAAAUGUGGCCUGACAGCCACUUCAAAGAGUUCAGCCAGGGGCUUACUGCUACUUAAAGCGCAGGAAUGUUGUUGCUAAGCAUCAGCCUACAACCUAUCAGGCCCAACACAAGGGCCUGCGCUUUCCCUUUAAGAGCGAAGCAGAGAAAGAGUGGAAAUUCGACAGUAACGGGAGGCUGGGGAUUCAAGGAGAUUUUGUAGCUUAAAGCAAUUGUUAGAAGAAACAAGCUUUCUGUUUUGUUUUCUCUUGACACCAUUUCAGCUUUUUGUGCUUGCAAAAGACAUGCAGUAAAUGUU